rnacentral:tRNA from 1 species
GUUGGAAUGGCUCAGUUGGUUAGAGCGUGUGGUUGUUAACCACAAGGUUGCUGGCA